CCAGUCGACCGGGUGGCCGCGCUCACAAGGCGAGGAAAGUCCGGGCUCCAUCGAAAUACGGUGACGGCUAACGGCCGCCGGGGGCGACCCCAGGGAAAGUGCCACAGAGAGCAGACCGCCUGCCUCGGCAGGUAAGGGUGAAAGGGUGCGGUAAGAGCGCACCGCGGACCGGGCAACCGGGACGGCACGGCAAACCCCACCGGGAGCAAGACCAAAUAGGGAUGACGCGGGGUUCGCCCCGGGCCGGUUUCGAGGCCAGUCGUCCGGGUUGGUUGCUCGAGAGGCGCGGCAACGCGUCUCCCAGAGGAAUGGCCACCACGUCUGCAUCGCAGGAUGCAGGCCCUACAGAACCCGGCUUACAGGUCGACUGGCGCU
rnacentral:RNase_P_RNA from 2 species